GAUGAAGAACGCAGCGAAAUGCGAUACGUAAAGUGAAUUGCAGAAUUCAGUGAAUCAUCGAGUCUUUGAACGCACAUUGCGCCCCCUGGUAUUCCGGGGGGCAUGCCUGUCCGAGCGUCAUUGCUGCCCUCAAGCACGGCUUGUGUGUUGGGCCUCCGUCCUCCUCCCGGGGGACGGGCCCGAAAGGCAGCGGCGGCACCGCGUCCGGUCCUCGAGCGUAUGGGGCUUCGUCACCCGCUCUUGUAGGCCCGGCCGGCGCUUGCCGACACAUCAAUCUUUUUUCCAGGUUGACCUCGGAUCAGGUAGGGAUACCCGCUGAACUUAAGCAUAUAAUAAGCGGAGGA
rnacentral:misc_RNA from 1 species